rnacentral:rRNA from 1 species
UACGUAGGUGACCAGCGUUGUCCGGAUUUACUGGGCGUAAAGAGCGCGCAGGCGGUCGUUCAAGUCGAGUGUGAAAGCCCCCGGCUCAACUGGGGAGGGUCACUCGAUACUGAGCGACUUGAAGGCAGGAGAGGGAAGCGGAAUUCCCGGUGUAGUGGUGAAAUGCGUAGAUAUCGAGAGGAACACCAGUGGCGCAAGCGGCUGACUGGCCGAGUCCUGACGCUGAGACACGACGGCGUGGGGAGCAAACCGG